AAAUUAGUCAAAUCUGUCAGGUGCCCAGCUAGUUUCUACAAGGCCUACGGAGGUACGAGGUGACUGGAGUUCAGCUGUGUUAAUGAAGCAUCAUUGUUAAUACAGGCUGGUCGGACCAUACCUGCUGCACGCCACGUUCAUUACUGAGUGUUCGCAGUUCAUCCGAGUGAGCCACACAAAUCUCAUGCAAGGCUGCUAGAUCACGGGACAGGGAAACCAUGGCCUCUGCAGAAAUGUGGGUCAUUUAUGUUUCAAAUCUCAGAUAAAACAGCAACGUUACAGUUGCCAGCAGAACUAGCUAAGAAAUGCAGGACCCAAGCAGAAACAAAAGGUGACAUUAGUCUAAAAGCCACAGUGUUGCAUGAACCAUUUAUUAUACUACUUGGUUACAAAUACAAGCAACAAAUCUUUGUUGUCCAGAAAGGGAGGGAAAAGACUUUCUCCAGAUGUGGGUAUAAAGUCUGACUAGAUCAGGAAUUUGACAAUUAUAUACAUACCCCAAGUUCAUCUAAAAACAUGAUCAUUCGGUGCUUGUUGCUUUUGAUGAAGGGAUUGACACCUUCCAUGUAUGGCUCCUAGAAGAAAAGUGCUGCAUAAGAAACCUGGAUCUCUAAGCAAACGCACUGGAAAUCUAGCGUCCCUCAGCAGCCUGUGGUCAGAGCUAACCUAAUCGGGCGGUGGCAGUUACUUUCUGAACAGACAGUGACCCUGAGGAACUCGGUUCUUUCUAUUGAAAGAACGGGAAACCUGGAUCUAAACA